UGGCCCUUAGCAGUGCUCACUUUUUGAGUGUCAAGUAUUAAGAGUGGGGGCUCUUUGUUGGUUUCACACCAUUGCUUUGUAAUGCAGGAGUCAUUGCUGUCAUUUUUCCAGCUCUUAGUGAAUUCCUGGCAGAGUGAGCAUCAGAACUACCAAAUGGACAAAGAGCAGCAUGCUAAUUUAUGUAAAUCUGGCUAUUAUUGAAUAAAUCUCUGACUGCCAGAAAAGAAAAGUUCUCCAUUUACCUUGAUCUGUACACCUAAGGAAGCUAAUCAAGAAGGAGGAACCUGGGAAAGAUACUCAAUCUUCAUUCAGAAAUGUAAAUGGGACAGACAUUGGAAGAGGAAGAAAACAGGGAACAGGACAGGAACCUACCACAAAAGGCCUCUGAAAGGCACUACUCUGCAGAGUAUCAAAACAUAUGCUGAGACUCAUUGUCAAACUUUGGGCAGAGUGCAGGGAAUCUUAUGAAAAGGGGAAUAUAGAAGGGGGGGGACAGGAUCUCCACAAGGAGAGCAACAGAACCAAAAAUUCUGGGCACAGGGGUCUUUUGUGACACUGAUACUCCAACCAAGGACAAUGCAUGAAGAUAACCUAGAACCCCUGCAUAGAUGUAGCCCAUGGUAGCUCAGUGUCCCCAGUAAUAGCAACAGGGACUAUCUCUGACAUGAACUCAGUGGCUGGCUUUUUGAUCACCUCCACCUGAGGGUGGAGCAGUCUUAUCAGUCCACAGAGGAAGACAAUGAAGCCAGUCCUGAUGAGACCUGAUAGACUAGGGUCAGAUGGAAGGGGAGGACCUCUCCUAUCAUUACACUGGGGGAGGGGCAUAGGAGAAGAAGAGGAAGGGACAGUAGGAUUGGGAGGGGAUGGGGAAGAGGGCUAAAGCUGGGAUACAAAUGAAUAAACUGUAAUUGAUUAAAAAUAAAAUAAAAAUUAAAAAAUAAAAUAUAAAUAUGGUAUAAUAUAAAAAAAUUAAUUAAAAAUAAAUAAAAAAACAAAAAAGCAUAUGAUAUAUCGCCUUGUGUAUUAGGCUUGCCCUGUUUUUCUGAGUAGUCUUAUAGUUUUGUUAUGGGUAUGAUGCUAUAUACUUCUAGUUUGUUCGAUUUAAAUUAAUACUUGUUUUGUAACACCUUUAAAUGGAAUGGCAGCUAUAAUAAUAAUAUGAAGACAUACCAUGUACCUACCUCCCCAACAUUAUUUUUUUUUUUAAUUUUUAUGUCUAAGGCAUCAUAUUUCCAACCAAGAAGUCAACAUUGGCUCAGUCUCAUGACUAUACCCAGGGCCUGAAAAGCAACUCAACAGGUAAAGCCACCUUUUUUCCAAGCCUGAUGAUCUGAGUUGAGUCCCAGAACCCAUCUGAUGGAAAGAGAGUGCCAACUCUUGCAGGUUGUCUCAACUUCCACAUGGAAGGUGUGAUACCCACCGCUAACAAAUGAAUCGAUGUUUAAAAAUCUAUCAUCAGACUUUACAAGUUUCUCAUGUACCGAUUUCAAGUAUAUAUGUGCUCACUCCUGUGCAUCUCUGGCACUCAGAACCAGGGGAGCACCACCUCAGUGAAGAUGUUGAGACAUCCUGUUGUCCUUGUGCAACAUACAGUGCUACCUUCUAACAUCCUACCGUAUUUUGUUCUGUCAUGAGAUUUCUGUCAUUUUGUGACUGUUAUAUGCACAUACUUAUCUUUGUAUUCUUUUGCACUCAGCCUAAUUUAACUACUUCAUGUUGCAUGUACAUUACUGUGUGCAUUGAUACUUCAUUUUUUUUUAUUCUAAAUAA